rnacentral:tRNA from 1 species
GGAGAAGUGCCCAAGUGGUUGAAGGGUCCGCACUCGAAAUGCGGUAGGUCGGCUGAAACCGGCGCGUGGGUUCAAAUCCCACCUUCUCCG